GACGUAGGGCGCGAGCGUUGUCCGGAUUUAUUGGGCGUAAAGAGCUCGUAGGCGGCUUGUCGCGUCGACCGUGAAAACCUGGGGCUCAACCCCGGGCCUGCAGCCGAUACGGGCAAACUAGAAUUCGGUAGGGGAGACUGGAAUUCCUGGUGUAGCGGUGAAAUGCGCAGAUAUCAGGAGGAACACCGGUGGCGAAGGCGGGUCUCUGGGCCGAUAUUGACGCUGAGGAGCGAAAGCGUGGGGAGCGAACAGG
rnacentral:rRNA from 1 species